UUUGGUCAUUUAGAGGAAGUAAAAGUCGUAACAAGGUCUCCGUUGGUGAACCAGCGGAGGGAUCAUUACCGAGUCACGCACUCAAAUAACCCUUCUGUGGACCUGAAUUUAAACCGUUGCCUCGGCGGGCGGUCCCCUGCCAAAACCCACCACUACCCAUGUGGCGUGGCUUGGGCGGGGGACCAGACAGUUCGGCACGCUUAAGGCGUCCGGCGCCAGCCGCUGGCCCUAAACAAUUAAACUCUAGUAACCUUACCUUCUGAGUUUUAAUGCAAAAAAAUAAGUCAAAACUUUCAACAACGGAUCUCUUGGCUCUGGCAUCGAUGAAGAACGCAGCGAAAUGCGAUAAGUAAUGUGAAUUGCAGAAUUCAGUGAAUCAUCGAAUCUUUGAACGCACAUUGCGCCCGCUGGUAUUCCAGCGGGCAUGCCCGUUCGAGCGUCAUUUUAAUCCCUUCUCGUCGAGACUCUUCUAUUCUGUAGUGGAGUGUCAGCGGGGCGUUGGCACUGGGCCCCUUAUUUGUUUAGGCGGCCCGAGCCGAAAUGAAGCGGCGGACUCGCGGCGGCCCCUAGCCCAGUAGAAACAACCCCUUCUCGCUUAGGAGAGCCGCAGCGGCGGACCACAGCCUCUACUACAUGCUUUUUUUACAAAAGCUACAUACCAAAACUUGACCUCGGAUCGGGUAGGACUACCCGCUGAACUUAAGCAUAUCAAUAAGCGGAGGA
rnacentral:rRNA from 1 species